GAUGAACGCUGGCGGCGUGCCUAAUACAUGCAAGUCGAGCGAACAGACGAGGAGCUUGCUCCUCUGACGUUAGCGGCGGACGGGUGAGUAACACGUUGAUAACCUACCUAUAAGACUGGGAUAACUUCGGGAAACCGGAGCUAAUACCGGAUUAUAUAUUGAACCUCAUGGUUCAAUAGUGAAAGCCGGUUUUGCUGUCACUUAUAGAUGGAUCCGCGCCGCAUUAGCUAGUUGGUAAGGUAACGGCUUACCAAGGCAACGAUGCGUAGCCGACCUGAGAGGGUGAUCGGCCACACUGGAACUGAGACACGGUCCAGACUCCUACGGGAGGCAGCAGUAGGGAAUCUUCCGCAAUGGGCGAAAGCCUGACGGAGCAACGCCGCGUGAGUGAUGAAGGUCUUCGGAUCGUAAAACUCUGUUAUUAGGGAAGAACAAAUGUGUAAGUAACUAUGCACGUCUUGACGGUACCUAAUCAGAAAGCCACGGCUAACUACGUG
rnacentral:rRNA from 1 species